rnacentral:rRNA from 1 species
AAUUGGAGGGCAAGUCUGGUGCCAGCAGCCGCGGUAAUUCCAGCUCCAAUAGCGUAUAUUAAAGUUGUUGCAGUUAAAAAGCUCGUAGUUGAAUUUCGGGAUUUGUCAGUUGGUCGGGCUUCACUGUCCGUACUGAUUCGAUGGAUUCUUACCUUCUGAAUAACCAGCAUGCUAUUAAGUUAGUGCGUUGGGGAAGCAGAUCUAUUACCUUGAAAAAAUUAGAGUGCUUAAAGCGGGCUAGUGCUUGAAUAGAUUAGCAUGGAAUAAUAAAAUAGGACGGCAUGGUUCUAUUUUGUUGGUUUCUAGGAUCACCGUAAUGAUUAAUAGGGAUAGUUGGGGGCAUUAGUAUUCAAUUGUCAGAGGUGAAAUUCUUGGAUUUAUUGAAGACUAACUUCUGCGAAAGCAUUUGCCAAGGAUGUUUUCAUUAAUCAAGAACGAAAGUUAGGGGAUCGAAGACGAUCAGAUACCGUCGUAGUCUUAACCAUAAACUAUGCCGACUAGGAAUCGGACGAAGUUAAUUUUAUAAUGACUCGUUCGGCACCUUACGGGAAACCAAAGUGU